UACGUAGGGUGCGAGCGUUGUCCGGAUUUAUUGGGCGUAAAGGGCUCGUAGGCGGCCUGUCGCGUCGGGAGUGAAAGCCCGCUGCUUAACGGUGGGUCUGCUUUCGGUACGGGCGGGCUAGAGUAUGGCAGGGGAGACUGGAAUUCCUGGUGUAGCGGUGGAAUGCGCAGAUAUCAGGAGGAACACCGGUGGCGAAGGCGGGUCUCUGGGCCAUUACUGACGCUGAGGAGCGAAAGCGUGGGGAGCGAACAGG
rnacentral:rRNA from 1 species